UACAGAGGGUGCAAGCGUUAAUCGGAAUUAUUGGGCGUAAAGAGCGUGUAGGCGGCCAUACAGGUCAGCUGUGAAAACUCGAGGCUCAACCUCGAGACGUCGGUUGAAACCGUAUGGCUAGAGUCCGGAAGAGGAGAGUGGAAUUCCCGGUGUAGCGGUGAAAUGCGCAGAUAUCGGGAAGAACACCCGUGGCGAAGGCGGCUCUCUGGGACGGUACUGACGCUGAGACGCGAAAGCGUGGGGAGCGAACAGG
rnacentral:rRNA from 1 species